AUGGUAUAUUUUUUGAUAACAAGGUAAGGACUUCGCCUUUUUUUUUGUUCAAUUCUGUUUAUUUAUCCCUUGUGUUUGAGAGGAUUGCAGUGCUUUAACUAUGUUAUUACCAUAGUUGAUUGCUAUUUCAUAAUCAUUUAAGUAUUCACUUUGUAUGGAUGAAAGAAAUAUCUGUUUUCUACCCUUUAUGAUGCUUGCUAAAUCAAUUCAUUUCAUCAGCAUCUUCUACUUUUCGAGACGAAAGAAGUCUGUUAUGUGUGGUUGAGGUUGGAUGUCAUAUGGGUGAUAACCCUCUCAUGUAUGCUAUUAUAUAAUGAGAUGUGUCCAUCUUGAAAUUGCCCAAUUAUCCUCCUACAAUAUUUUGUCAAAUGAGUUGUUGGGCUUAAUAAUAUUUUAUCAGUGUUCUCCCAAGCCGAUUGCUCUCAUUAUGCCAGUCCCUGCAAUUACUAAAAUAGAGGAGUAUAGAAGAUUGUUAGAAUGUGGUGAUACACCCAUAUAUACAGUCACACUGCUGAAUGCAUAUUUGUGCACAUCUUCCAAUAAUGGUGCAUAAUUUUGCACUUCCAAUUUUUUUGAGUUUUAUGUAACUUGAGAUUAAAAUAGCUGUGUUUUUAACUUGCUACAUGCACUUAUAAUGAAAAUGGAAGAUAUACCUCUAUGGUUCUAAUCUCAAUUUCAAUGGCAGAUAUCAGAGUGAUUAGUUUGUAUCUGGUUUUUAUGACAUGGUUAAUAUAGUCUACAAUCUAAAGAUAUAUGGGUUGAUGCUUACUACUAACACAUGUUUUGACUUGGUGCAGAUUCUACAUGUAUCAGAGGUCG
rnacentral:misc_RNA from 1 species